UGGGGAAUUUUGGACAAUGGGCGAAAGCCUGAUCCAGCAAUGCCGCGUGUGUGAAGAAGGCCUUCGGGUUGUAAAGCACUUUUGUCCGGAAAGAAAUCCUUGGCUCUAAUACAGUCGGGGGAUGACGGUACCGGAAGAAUAAGCACCGGCUAACUACGUGCCAGCAGCCGCGGUAAUACGUAGGGUGCAAGCGUUAAUCGGAAUUACUGGGCGUAAAGCGUGCGCAGGCGGUUUGCUAAGACCGAUGUGAAAUCCCCGGGCUCAACCUGGGAACUGCAUUGGUGACUGGCAGGCUAGAGUAUGGCAGAGGGGGGUAGAAUUCCACGUGUAGCAGUGAAAUGCGUAGAGAUGUGGAGGAAUACCGAUGGCGAAGGCAGCCCCCUGGCAAGUACUGACGCUCAUGCACGAAAGCGUGGGGGAGCAAACNGGAUUAGAUACCCUGGUAGUCCACGCCCUAAANGAUGUCAACUAGUUGUUGGGGAUUCAUUUCCUUAGUAACGUAGCUAACGCGUGAAGUUGACCGCCUGGGGGAGUACGGUCGCAAGAUUAAAACUUAAAUAAUUG
rnacentral:rRNA from 1 species